CGGGCGGCGGCCGGGCCCGGACGCGGAGUGGAAGGCGCGGCAGAGGGGGAGCUGGCGGCCCGUUUUCCGGGGUUUGGCCGCGACAAUUCGAACUGGACAACUCAGGCCCAGAUCCGGUCCGAGCCGCCCUCCCGGCGAGGAGGCAGCAGGGCCCGAGGGAGGGGGGCCGCCGGGCGGGACCAGGGCGCAGGCUUCGGCCGGCGGGGCCCCCACCCUGAGGGCUCCCCGAACUGGAGGCGCCCGGCCGACCUCGACCUGCCCUGCGCUCCUGGGAGCGGGGCGCUCAGGGGUGAUGCGCGUUGGAGCCGCGGCUGGGAAGGAGGAAGGGCGAGUCCCGGCCGCGACCAGCCUGUCCAGCCAGGAGUGUCUGUCCCGCGGCCCCGCUGGGGCGCCAGGGAGACCCCGCAGACCGCAGCGUGCGGAGCGAGCCCCUGUGGGCGGCCGCGGUGCAGAGGCCACUGGGUGCAGCCUCCUCUCCCAGGCGACAGCUCCAGACCCCGCGGGGGUGUCCUCUCCCCCGCACCCCGACACUGAGUUCCGUUCCGGGCGGGAUUGAGGAGCAGCACCACCAGGCAGAGCCGGCAGCAGGGAAGAGGGGCGGCUAGUUCUGGGGGCACCCACCUCCCACCACAGGUCCCCUCGCCCAGGCUGGGCCCAGGCCCCCGUGUCCCUCAAGGCCUGGCCGCUGUGGGCCCUGAGGCCGCCCCCUGGGAGACGCACCCUCAGGUGGGCCUGCACCCCCCGCCCCCCGCCCCGCUCCCAUCCACCGCCCUCAGCCGCUCGGAGCUGGGAUUCUGAGGCCUCGCGGCCAGAAGCAGCCCCACGAUGGGACACGUUCCAGACCUGGACGCGCUGGCCCCGCGCCCACAGCCGCCCGCCCAUGACUCUCACCAUUGAAGUUUCUCUCUCUCAAUCUCCCUUCCUCUCUCUGAAAUCAAUAAAAAUAUAGUUU